AUUGAACGCUGGCGGCAGGCUUAACACAUGCAAGUCGAGCGGGGUGAUGGUGCUUGCACUAUCACUUAGCGGCGGACGGGUGAGUAAUGCUUAGGAAUCUGCCUAUUAGUGGGAGACAACAUCUCGAAAGGGAUGCUAAUACCGCAUACGUCCUACAGGAGAAAGCAGGGGAUCACUUGUGACCUUGCGCUAAUAGAUGAGCCUAAGUCGGAUUAGCUAGUUGGUGGGGUAAAGGCCUACCAAGGCGACGAUCUGUAGCGGGUCUGAGAGGAUGAUCCGCCACACUGGGACUGAGACACGGCCAAGACUCCUACGGGAGGCAGCAGUGGGGAAUAUUGGACAAUGGGGGGAACCCUGAUCCAGCCAUGCCGCGUGUGUGAAGAAGGCCUUAUGGUUGUAAAGCACUUUAAGCGAGGAGGAGGCUCUUUUGGUUAAUACCCAAGAUGAGUGGACGUUACUCGCAGAAUAAGCACCGGCUAACUCUGUGCCAGCAGCCGCAGUAA
rnacentral:rRNA from 1 species